rnacentral:tRNA from 1 species
GCUAGGAUUCUAAACUAAACUAUUUUCUG